UACGAAGGGGGCUAGCGUUGUUCGGAAUUACUGGGCGUAAAGGGCGCGUAGGCGGCCUGCUAAGUCAUACGUGAAAUCCCUCGGCUCAACCGAGGAACUGCGUCUGAUACUGGUUGGCUUGAAUUCGGGAGAGGGAUGCGGAAUUCCAGGUGUAGCGGUGAAAUGCGUAGAUAUCUGGAGGAACACCGGUGGCGAAGGCGGCAUCCUGGACCGAGAUUGACGCUGAUGCGCGAAAGCCAGGGGAGCAAACGGGG
rnacentral:rRNA from 1 species